CCUACGGGAGGCAUCAGUGGGGAAUAUUGGGCAAUGGGCGCAAGCCUGACCCAGCAAUGCCGCGUGAAGGAAGAAGGCUUUCGGGUUGUAAACUUCUUUGACAGGGGAAGAGCAGAAGACGGUACCCUGAAAACAAGCCACGGCUAACUACGUGCCAGCAGCCGCGGUAAUACGUAGGUGGCAAGCGUUGUCCGGAUUUACUGGGUGUAAAGGGCGUGUAGCCGGGAAGGCAAGUCAGAUGUGAAAUCUGGAGGCUCAACCUCCAAAUUGCAUUUGAUACUGGUUGUCUUGAGUACUGGAGAGGCAGACGGAAUUCCUUGUGUAGCGGUGAAAUGCGUAGAUAUAAGGAGGAACACCAGUGGCGAAGGCGGUCUGCUGGACAGCAACUGACGGUGAGGCGCGAAAGCGUGGGGAGCAAACAGGAUUAGAUACCCGAGUAGUC
rnacentral:rRNA from 1 species